UCUUCUAACUCUUGAAAUUCAAUUUUUAUUCUUUUAAAAGUUUUCUUAAACUGCUAGAUUUUGACAGCUAAGUCAUAUCCAAUGGUGCAAGUGGCUAAACAUGGCAAGUGUCUUCCAUUCUCAUUACAGGAUGCAACACUUUAAGAUGGAACAGUAACCUAUUUUCAAGAGGCAAUGCUUUUAAUAACUCUUUUGCACAUGCCAUAGACCUGGCACCUAAAUACAUAGAAUUUUUUUCUGAAGAAGAUAAGGAUGUCA